rnacentral:rRNA from 1 species
UACAGAGGUCUCAAGCGUUGUUCGGAUUCAUUGGGCGUAAAGGGUGUGUAGGUGGCGCGCUAAGUCGGGUGUGAAAUCUCGGAGCUCAACUCCGAACGGCAUUGGAAACUGCGUUGCUAGAGGGUUGGAGGGGGGACUGGGAAUUCCUGGUGUAGCGGUGAAAUGACGCAGAUAUCAGGAGGAACACCGGUGGCGAAGGCGGUUCUCUGGGCCUUACCUGACACUGAGGAGCGAAAGCGUGGGGAGCGAACAGG